rnacentral:rRNA from 1 species
UGGGGAAUUUUGGACAAUGGGCGAAAGCCUGAUCCAGCAAUGCCGCGUGUGUGAAGAAGGCCUUCGGGUUGUAAAGCACUUUUGUCCGGAAAGAAAUCCUUGGCUCUAAUACAGUCGGGGGAUGACGGUACCGGAAGAAUAAGCACCGGCUAACUACGUGCCAGCAGCCGCGGUAAUACGUAGGGUGCAAGCGUUAAUCGGAAUUACUGGGCGUAAAGCGUGCGCAGGCGGUUUGCUAAGACCGAUGUGAAAUCCCCGGGGCUCAACCUGGGAACUGCAUUGGUGACUGGCAGGCUAGAGUAUGGCAGAGGGGGGUAGAAUUCCACGUGUAGCAGUGAAAUGCGCAGAGAUGUGGAGGAAUACCGAUGGCGAAGGCAGCCCCCUGGGCCAAUACUGACGCUCAUGCACGAAAGCGUGGGGGAGCAAACAGGAUUAGAUACCCUGGUAGUCCACGCCCUAAACGAUGUCAACUAGUUGUUGGGGAUUCAUUUCCUUAGUAACGUAGCUAACGCGUGAAGUUGACCGCCUGGGGAGUACGGUCGCAAGAUUAAAACUCAAAUGAAUUGACGGGAUCAUAGCUG